CUGAGCGAGAGCACAUGUGGACAGUACACGAGUGAGAAUGCCGGAAUGAGUAGCGAGAAUUAUGUGGGAAUCAUAAUGGCCGAAAAUCUAAGGUUUCUUGGGGAAGGUUCGUCCGCCCAAGGUAAGCCGGGAGCUAAGGCGAGGCCGAAAGGCGUAGUCGAUGCACAUACGGUUGAAAUUCCGUAGCCGCCGAAAUUGUUAAGCACAGGGACACAUAGAGAUAUCCGAACCCGGGCGUUGGUUGACCCGGGCGCAAGGGACCGAACAUCAGUAGGGAAGUCGGAGAUGCUCUGUGGCGAGAAAAGCUGUGUGUAUUGAUUAGGCGCCCGUACCGCAAACCGACACAGGUAGAUGAGGAGAGAAUCCUAAGGCCAACGGGAGAAGGGUUGUUAAGGAACUCGGCAAAUUGACCCCGUAACUUCGGGAUAAGGGGAGCCUCCUACGGGAGGCCGCAGUGAAUAGGCCCAAGCAACUGUUUACCAAAAACACAGGUCUCUGCUAAAUCGAAAGAUGACGUAUAGGGGCUGACGCCUGCCCGGUGCCGGAAGGUUAAGAGGAGAGCUUAGCGCAAGCGAAGGUUCGAAUUGAAGCCCCGGUAAACGGCGGCCGUAACAAUAACGGUCCUGAGGUAGCGAAAUUCCUUGUCAGGUAAGUUCUGACCCGCACGAAUGGCGUAAUGAUUUGGGCACUGUCUCAACAGCCCGCCCGGCGAAAUUGUAGUACUGGUGAAGAUGCCAGUUACCCGCAACUAGACGGAAAGACCCCAUGGAGCUUUACUGUAGCCUAAUACUGAAGAUCGGUAAUGCAUGUACAGGAUAGGUGGGAGCCAGCGAAACCCGGGCGUCAGCUCGGAUGGAGGCAACCUUGGAAUACCACCCUUGUAUUGCUGGUUUUCUAACCUGCGGCCAUGAAUCUGGUCGGGGGACACUGUUAGGUGGGCAGUUUGACUGGGGCGGUCGCCUCCAAAAGCGUAACGGAGGCGCUCAAAGGUUGGCUCAGCACGGACGGAAAUCGUGCAUAGAGUGCAAACGCAUAAGCCAACUUGACUGCGAGACCGACGGGUCGAGCAGGUACGAAAGUAGGAGUUAGUGAUCCGGUGGUAUGUGAGUGGAAAUGCCAUCGCUCAACGGAUAAAAGCUACCCUGGGGAUAACAGGCUGAUCUCCCCCAAGCGUCCACAGCGACGGGGAGGUUUGGCACCUCGAUGUCGGCUCGUCACAUCCUGGGGCUGUAUUCGGUCCCAAGGGUUCGGCUGUUCGCCGAUUAAAGUGGCACGCGAGCUGGGUUCAGAACGUCGUGAGACAGUUCGGUCCCUAUCUGUUGCGGGCGCAGGAGAUUUGAAGGGAGCUGUCCUUAGUACGAGAGGACCGGGAUGGACAGACCUCUGGUGCACCAGUUGUCGUGCCAACGGCACAGCUGGGUAGCUACGUCUGGACGAGAUAAACGCUGAAAGCAUCUAAGUGUGAAACUCCCCCUAAGAUAAGAUCUCCCAUCCAUUAGGAGUAAGGGACGACAGAGACUAUGUCGUUGAUAGGUCGGAAGUGUAAGUGCAGUAAUGCAUUGAGCUGACCGAUACUAAUAACCCGAGGGCUUGACC
rnacentral:rRNA from 1 species